rnacentral:rRNA from 1 species
GACGAACGCUGGCGGCGUGCUUAACACAUGCAAGUCGAGCGAUGAAGCACCUUCGGGUGUGAAUUAGCGGCGAACGGGUGAGGAACACGUGAGAAAUCUGCCUUCAACACUGGGAUAACUCCGGGAAACCGGGGCUAAUACCGGAUAUGAAACCUGCGGGCAUCCGCGGGUUUGGAAAGUUUUUCGGUUGAAGAUGAUCUCGCGGCCUAGCAGCUUGUUGGUGAGGUAAUGGCUCACCAAGGCGACGACGGGUAGCCGGCCUGAGAGGGCGACCGGACACACUGGGACUGAGACACGGCCCAGACUCCUACGGGAGGCAGCAGUGGGGAAUAUUGGGCAAUGGAGGAAACUCUGACCCAGCGACGCCGCGUGCGGGAUGAAGGCCUUCGGGUUGUAAACCGCUUUCAGCAGGGAAGAAGCGAAAGUGACGGUACCUGCAGAAGAAGCACCGGCUAACUAUGUGCCAGCCGCCGCAGUAA